GAUGAAGAACGUAGCGAAAUGCGAUAAGUAGUGUGAAUUGCAGGAUUCAGUGAAUCAUCGAAUCUUUGAACGCACAUUGCGCCCCUUGGUAUUCCAUGGGGCAUGCCUGUUCGAGCGUCAUUUGUACCUUCAAGCUCUGCUUGGUGUUGGGUGUUUGUCUCGCCUCUGCGUGUAGACUCGCCUUAAAACAAUUGGCAGCCGGCGUAUUGAUUUCGGAGCGCAGUACAUCUCGCGCUUUGCACUCAUAACGACGACGUCCAAAAGUACAUUUUUACACUCUUGACCUCGGAUCAGGUAGGGAUACCCGCUGAACUUAAGCAUAUCAAUAAGCGGAGGA
rnacentral:misc_RNA from 1 species